AUUGAACGCUGGCGGUAGGCCUAACACAUGCAAGUCGAACGAGUGGCGGACGGGUGAGUAAUGUCUGGGAAACUGCCUGAUGGAGGGGGAUAACUACUGGAAACGGUAGCUAAUACCGCAUACCAUCAGAUGUGCCCAGAUGUGUUUAGCUAGUUGGUGGGGUAACGGCUCACGAAGGCGACGAUCCCUAGCUGGUCUGGGAGGAUGACCAGCCACACUGGUACUGAGACACGGUCCAGACUCCAAGGGGAGGCAGCGGUGGGGAAGAUUGCACAAUGGGCGCAAGCCUAAUGCAGCCAGGCCGCGUGUAUGAAGAAGGCCUUCGGGUUGUAAAGUACUUUCAGCGGGGAGGCGUUACCCGCAGAAGAAGCACCGGCUAACGCCGUGCCAGCAGCCGCGGUAAUAC
rnacentral:rRNA from 1 species